UGGGGAAUAUUGCACAAUGGGCGCAAGCCUGAUGCAGCCAUGCCGCGUGUAUGAAGAAGGCCUUCGGGUUGUAAAGUACUUUCAGCGGGGAGGAAGGGAGUAAAGUUAAUACCUUUGCUCAUUGACGUUACCCGCAGAAGAAGCACCGGCUAACUCCGUGCCAGCAGCCGCGGUAAUACGGAGGGUGCAAGCGUUAAUCGGAAUUACUGGGCGUAAAGCGCACGCAGGCGGUUUGUUAAGUCAGAUGUGAAAUCCUCGGGCUCAACCUGGGAACUGCAUCUGAUACUGGCAAGCUUGAGUCUCGUAGAGGGGGGUAGAAUUCCAGGUGUAGCGAUGAAAUGCGUAGAGAUCUGGGGGAAUACCGGUGGCGAAGGCGGCCCCCUGGACGAAGACUGACGCUCAGGUGCGAAAGCGUGGGGAGCAAACAGG
rnacentral:rRNA from 1 species